AUUGAACGCUGGCGGCAGGCUUAACACAUGCAAGUCGAGCGGGGUGAUGGUGCUUGCACUAUCACUUAGCGGCGGACGGGUGAGUAAUGCUUAGGAAUCUGCCUAUUAGUGGGGGACAACAUCUCGAAAGGGAUGCUAAUACCGCAUACGUCCUACGGGAGAAAGCAGGGGAUCACUUGUGACCUUGCGCUAAUAGAUGAGCCUAAGUCGGAUUAGCUAGUUGGUGGGGUAAAGGCCUAUCAAGGCGACGAUCUGUAGCGGGUCUGAGAGGAUGAGCCGCCACACUGGGACGGAGACACGGCCCAGACUCCUACGGGAGGCAGCAGUGGGGAAUAUUGGACAAUGGGGGGAACCCUGAUCCAGCCAUGCCGCGUGUGUGAAGAAGGCCUUAUGGUUGUAAAGCACUUUAAGCGAGGAGGAGGCUACUUUAGUUAAUACCUAGAGAUAGUGGACGUUACUCGCAGAGUAAGCUCCGGCUAACUCUGUGCCAGCCGCCGCGGUAA
rnacentral:rRNA from 1 species